UUCUGCCGCCAAAGGGAAAGGUAGCAGGUCCAUUACUUCAGCCGACCUGCUAGCGAUGGCGGAUCUUACGGAUAAUUUUGAUUGAUGAGAAUGUGCGGAGGUGGAAGCUGUGCCACCAAACCAGUUGAUUAUAAUCGUAUUCCGCACUAUAAAUAAGAUGAAUGCAAUCUGCUCUCACAAUGGAACAGGACAAAGAAUCUCUUUAUGCUUUCAUCAGUUGUGCAACCAAAUAAGUUGAUUAUAAUCGUCAUCUGCACUAUAAAUAAAAUGAAUGCAAUCAUCUCUCACAAUUGAAUAGGAAAAAGAAUCUCUUCCAGUCAUCUACGAGGUAAGCAUGCUAGCCUUGGUUUAGUCUGCAGAUACUUCUUUCUUAGGCUGCAUGUCAGAUAUAAAGUCCUUUUGAUGUGUAUGUAGUGCAGUUUUUAUUCGUUAAGAACCUAAUUAAUACCAGUCCACACAUGUAAACUGCACUUAAUUUCUUCGUAUUUCUACUUUCAUUAUUUACCUCGAAUUUACUUUGGUAAUAAUAUGUUUUUCAUUUGGGUUGGAAGGCACCUUGCAAAAAGUAAAAUUAAUUAGGGAGGGCAGAGAUUUGAAAUUACACCAUCCCAAAUUAAUUUCUAUUGAGUUGUCUAAAUGCAAAACCAAAAAAAAAAGUUGAUCCGUAUGGACUAAGGAGAUAUGUAGCUAGGAUAUUUGAAAUUCUGUCCUAAAGCUCAACGUAUAUGUAUGUGGUAAUAUAAUUAGUAGUAUAUAUUAUGGUCGAUCGAAUUGUUUUAAAUACACUACUCUAUUUAUUUUGAUAGCCUGUCUCAGGUCACACGUGCAUUUUUCUAUAUAUAAUACUACAAGAGUGUCGUACAUAUGGAAGCAGAGGGUAUUCAUGACAGCAGGAUACACGCCAGAUAUCACGAUAUGGUUAGCGAAUCCAGCGUACUAACGAUAUCAGCAUACACGUGGAUGCCUGUCAACCUAGCGGAUCCAGCAUACUCUCUAGAGCAGCACACAUUCGGAUGAGUGGCAAAUUGAAGUCUGAACAAUACAAAUUAACCAUGGCACGCGGCAGCCUCAGCCAUCACGUACACAAGUUAUGCAUCAACAGAGAAGUCGUAAUCAUCCAGACGCUUGGUAGGUGUGGCUUUCCAACAAAUGCAGACACAUGCAUGGAAGGGUAUACAAAAUCAAGAGGCCAUGCAUGCACAAUGGACACUGAGUGGGUCCGGAUAUGAGAUAUUGCUUCCAACUGCCUAGCAUAAAGUCUCUAAUGAGCCCAAGUGAAAUUUUCAAUGUCGCCCCGUCAAAUCUGAUGAAUGCACAUAGGCGCCCUGAGUUAUGAUAAGGUUACAACAAGAAUGCAUGGUGAUAACGAUCUGGCGGGUCGGCGGCAAGGAAAAAUUUAAUAUAUCUAUUUAUCUUCGAGAUUACUAUACAUGCAUCAUUUAUUACCCAAGCGGUUGAUAGGAAAAAGGCAUGUCCACGCCAAGCAAUGAAAAAAUUACACAAACCAAGGUACAUAAGAAUGAGGUUUACCAUGAAGAGGGGGAAUGCCGGCAGCUGGAAUUCUGGCUGGAAAAGGAGCA